rnacentral:rRNA from 1 species
UACGGAGGAUGCGAGCGUUAUCCGGAUUUAUUGGGUUUAAAGGGUGCGCAGGCGGAAUGUCAAGUCAGCGGUAAAAUUUCGGGGCUCAACCCCGUCGUGCCGUUGAAACUGGCGUGCUCGAGUUGGAGAGAAGUAUGCGGAAUUCGUGGUGUAGCGGUGAAAUGCUUAGAUAUCGCGCAGAACCCCGAUUGCGAAGGCAGCAUACCGGUGCACAACUGACGCUCAGGCACGAAAGCGUGGGUAUCGAACAGG